CCCUGGUUAGCUCAGUUGGUAGAGCGGACCACUGGAAAUGGCGAGGUCCCUGGUUCGAUACCAAGACCAGGCG
rfam:Ixodes scapularis strain Wikel colony gcontig_1108379004754, whole genome shotgun sequence.